AACGAACGCUGGCGGCAUGCCUAACACAUGCAAGUCGAACGAGACCUUCGGGUCUAGUGGCGCACGGGUGCGUAACGCGUGGGAACCUGCCCUUAGGUUCGGAAUAACUCCCCGAAAGGGGUGCUAAUACCGGAUAAUGUCUUCGGACCAAAGAUUUAUCGCCUUUGGAUGGGCCCGCGUUUGAUUAGCUAGUUGGUAGGGUAAAAGCCUACCAAGGCGACGAUCCAUAGCUGGUCUGAGAGGAUGAUCAGCCACACUGGGACUGAGACACGGCCCAGACUCCUCCGGGAGGGAGCAGUGGGGAAUGUUGGAAAAUGGGCGAAAGCCUGAUCCAACAAUGCCGCGUGAGUGAUGAAGGCCUUAGGGUUGUAAAGCUCUUUUAACCGGGAUGAUAAUGACGGUACCGGGAGAAUAAGCUCCGGCUAACUCCGUG
rnacentral:rRNA from 1 species